rnacentral:lncRNA from 1 species
AGUACAUCAGGAGAGAAACAAAUCUCUAGAUUUGAACAAUACAAGAAGAAGGAAAAAGUAGUAAUCAGCAGCAGUAACAGUAGCACCAGCAACAGUAAUAUAACAGCAGCAGCAACUCAAUACAACUCAAGAAAACCCAGAAAAGUUUUAAACCAAACAACGAACAACAAAUAACCAACAAUAGUCUACCUAAACAAGAGUAGUUUGGACCAAACAACUUCACAGACAAACCCAGGCAACCUCAACAGAAACACAAUGCAACCAGACCAGAACACUCAAAUGCAAAAUAGCUCCAAUAAGCUCUCUUAGACUGAUUCCAGAACCUCUUCAAAGACUGACCAAAACUCUCAAGUUUUUAACUCUCAAAACUCUUACUCCCCAUUCAAGUCCCUCUUAAUGUCUCUCCUCAAUGUCUAUACUCUUUUCUUAGUUCUAUGUGUUUCUUGACUCUCCCCUCUUACUGUCAGUUCAUGUCCUUCACUAUGUCUCUACUCAUCUCUAUAUUUAAACCCAAAGCCCUUUUCCCUUUUCAAACCUCCUUUUUUCUUUUACACUUGUAAAAGGAAAACUUUUAUUAUUACCCCUCCUGCUUUUACUUUCCAGCUUUUAUAUUCCCUUUCCAUGUACACCCUUUUAGCUUUUUUAUUAUUAUUCCCCCUCUUUUUACUUUCCAGCUCCUUUUUCCUUUAUUCACAUCAUUAUGUCUUGUUCCCCACCACUCUUAAACAAAUAUAUUGUUUUAAAGGUCCACUAGUACUUACUGGACAUACCCAUUAAACUAGCCAUUUUCAAUCCUUUUAAAUCCCAAAAUACCCCUGAAACUUCUGAAUUUACUAUCCUACCCCAAUCCCCUUUCAGUAACCAAUUACCUAUCCAAAACCAGUCAACAAUUCAAGCUAGAAACUCAGAUCAGAUCAAAUAUCAUCAAAAUAAGAACAAUGAUUCCGAACAAAAUCCUAUUGAACUACUAAACGAACUGGACAAAGUGCAACUUCAGUUUUGGAAACAAAUAUGCCUCCUAAUAAUUUGAAACUCAGUAUUGGAUUUCUAAUAGAGAAUCAAGCAUAAUUAAAAUUCAACAAUUUAAAUCAAUAAUACAUAUUUAUUAUAGAACUGAGAAAGUGAAACACGAUAAUUAAACAAAACAGAUCGAAAAAAAGGAAUAACGGACUUACAAACUCUUUGAAAAUUCUCUUGUAAAUCAAGACAUGUACAGAAAUGGAAAUAAUGAACCCGAAACCAGAACCACGACCGGUGACACCAAACGAAACAAAAUCUGUCCAGAAAACCUCAUGAGCCCUAACCGGACUGCCUCGCUAACCCCCGGUAUUCAGAUCGGAGCAUAUGUUUCUCCGUCAAUCCCUCACUUCGUUCAUUUUUUACCUCUAUUCUCUUUCGACGACGACCAAAUGACGUCAAAGCGGUAGGGGCCAUUUGGAGAAGAAGAAGCAGUAAUGGGUGGGGGUGGUCGUUUGUAAAGUCGACUGGUGGUCGACGUUGCUAGAGUGAGGGCUGUUUGGGCGUGGGUGGUGAGGUUGAUGGGCAGUUGGGUGACGAGCUUGUCGUUGGUUGUUAGGUGGUGGACGAUGGCGACUGGUCGGGGGCGUGGAAGUGGAGCUGAAGAAGCAGUGGCUUGGAGAUGUUGCUGCUCGCUGCUGCUCGACGAAAUAGGGUGGUCGAUUGGUUGAGGUCGUUUAUGUCCAGUGUUGGGCGACGAACGGGCGGGUUCAGGCGAUGCUUAUGCGGUGAGAGGCGUGGUUGGGCUGCUGGUUGGUUCAAGAGGACGAGGAUGGUGAGAUGCAGGUCUCGAGGGUGGCUGCUUGGAGUGCUAACGGUUUUUAUAGGAUUAGGGUUUUUUUUUUGUGUGUUAGGAAUUGGAGAAUGAAAUGAAAAUCAA